rnacentral:rRNA from 1 species
UAAGACGAACCGUGCGAACGUUGUUCGGAAUCACUGGGCUUAAAGGGCGCGUAGGCGGCUUGCCAAGUCAGGGGUGAAAUCCUGCAGCUCAACUGUAGAAGUGCCUUUGAUACUGGCGAGCUCGAGGGAGGUAGGGGUGGGUGGAACUUCUGGUGGAGCGGUGAAAUGCGUUGAUAUCAGAAGGAACGCCGGUGGCGAAAGCGACCCACUGGAUCUCUACUGACGCUGAGGCGCGAAAGCCAGGGGAGCAAACGGGAUUAGAUACCCCGGUAGUCCUGGCCCUAAACGAUGGGUACUAGAUUGCAGACUGGUCAUGGGUUUGCAGUCGAAGCAAAAGUGUUAAGUACCCCGCCUGGGGAGUAUGGUCGCAAGGCUG